GGUCGCGUAGCUUAGUCGGUAGAGCGUGGUGCUAAUAACCUCCCAUGUUAAUAACGCCAAGGUCGCGAGUUCGAUCCUCGUCGUGACCA